GAUGAAGAACGCAGCGAAAUGCGAUAAGUAAUGUGAAUUGCAGAAUUCAGUGAAUCAUCGAAUCUUUGAACGCACAUUGCGCCCGCCAGUAUUCUGGCGGGCAUGCCUGUCCGAGCGUCAUUUCAACCCUCGAACCCCUCCGGGGGGUCGGCGUUGGGGACCUCGGGAGCCCCUAAGACGGGAUCCCGGCCCCGAAAUACAGUGGCGGUCUCGCCGCAGCCUCUCCUGCACAGUAGUUUGCACAACUCGCACCGGGAGCGCGGCGCGUCCACGUCCGUAAAACACCCAACUUCUGAAAUGUUGACCUCGGAUCAGGUAGGAAUACCCGCUGAACUUAAGCAUAUCAAUAAGCGGAGGA
rnacentral:misc_RNA from 1 species